rnacentral:rRNA from 1 species
AUACGGAGGGUGCAAGCGUUACUCGGAAUCACUGGGCGUAAAGCGCGCGCAGGCGGCUAUUUAAGUUGGAUGUGAAAGCCUACGGCUCAACCGUAGAACUGCAUCCAAAACUAUUUAGCUAGAGUGUGGGAGAGGAAGAUGGAAUUAGUUGUGUAGGGGUAAAAUCCGUAGAGAUAACUAGGAAUACCAAAAGCGAAGGCAAUCUUCUGGAACACUACUGACGCCGAGGCGCGAAAGCGUGGGGAGCAAACGGGAUUAGAUACCCUAGUAGUCC